rnacentral:rRNA from 1 species
GAUGAACGCUGGCGGCGUGCCUAAUACAUGCAAGUCGAGCGAACAGACGAGGAGCUUGCUCCUCUGACGUUAGCGGCGGACGGGUGAGUAACACGUGGAUAACCUACCUAUAAGACUGGGAUAACUUCGGGAAACCGGAGCUAAUACCGGAUAAUAUAUUGAACCGCAUGGUUCAAUAGUGAAAGACGGUUUUGCUGUCACUUAUAGAUGGAUCCGCGCCGCAUUAGCUAGUUGGUAAGGUAACGGCUUACCAAGGCAACGAUGCGUAGCUGACCUGAGAGGGUGAUCGGCCACACUGGAACUGAGACACGGUCCAGACUCCUACGGGAGGCAGCAGUAGGGAAUCUUCCGCAAUGGGCGAAAGCCUGGCGGAGCAACGCCGCGUGAGUGAUGAAGGUCUUCGGAUCGUAAAACUCUGUUAUUAGGGAAGAACAAAUGUGUAAGUAACUAUGCACGUCUUGACGGUACCUAAUCAGAAAGCCACGGCUAACUACGUG